CAGUCGCCGCGGGAAUACAGAGGGUGCGAGCGUUAAUCGGAUUUACUGGGCGUAAAGCGUGCGUAGGCGGCUUCUUAAGUCGGAUGUGAAAUCCCUGAGCUUAACUUAGGAAUUGCAUUCGAUACUGGGAAGCUAAAGUAUGGGAGAGGAUGGUAGAAUUCCAGGUGUAGCGGUGAAAUGCGUAGAGAUCUGGAGGAAUACCGAUGGCGAAGGCAGCCAUCUGGCCUAAUACUGACGCUGAGGUACGAAAGCAUGGGGAGCAAACAGGAUUAGAUACCCCCGUAGUCCCUGUCUCUUAUAC
rnacentral:rRNA from 1 species